ACUGGAAACUUGCUAUAAUUCUUCUGUGGUGGGAACACAGUCUUGGCCAUGUUUGCAUCAGCCUGGUUAGUGAGAAGUCAAGUUUUGUCAGCACUGAAGAAUGGAGCUACAAAUUUAGAAAUUAAACACAACUUUUUGGAUGCAAACUGAUUGACAGGGCUGGCAGGGUUCUUCAUGGCCUUGACACCUAAGCAGGACUUUCUCUGAAUGAAAGAAAGCCUGGACUCUGGAAUACAAUUAAGGUGUACUGGUAUUCUGUCUCCUAGGCCCUGAACUAUAAAGACUGACAGAGAGAAGUUUGUCUUCCUACAUGAUGAGACCUGCCAGAAGUUUUGAAUUAUCCUCUGAGUACAGUUGUUUCUACAAACGGUUUUUCUUUAAUAAGAAUAGAAUUCAUAGGUGCAUAUUUCCACACCUUUCCUGAUUCUCAACCUUGCAACUGAAUUAAAGGCCUACUAUUACCAUGUAUUUGUCAGUAAAUUAUAUAUUAUGCUGUGUUCUUUUGUAUUACAUAGAAAUGUGGCCUUCAUGUUUUAAAAGUAAAUUUUAAAAUAGACAAGUGCAUGUCGAAUAGGAUGCUCUGGACUUUGAGCCGGCUUCCACUGUGCCAAAGGAGGGAUGGUAGUAUUUUGCCAGUAGAAUAUAGCCAGCUGAUUGCUAAUCAUAAGUUCCAGUUUUACUAUAAAAGUGAGAAAUACAGUGACAGCUAAAGGGUUUGUGAACCAAGCAAUCCUGAAGUAAGUUUUUUAUUUUUCUGGGUUUUUUCCCCCCUGUUUUUAUAUGGAGGAUAUUUCAGUCUUUUAGCUUUUAAGAUAUGGCAAUUUGAGGGAUGCUGUAUGCAUGCAUUUACAUUGGAAUAUGUGAUAACUUUUGCUUCAUCAGUUGGCCUUUAUUAGAGAACUGCAUCAAAUUCUGUUGUAUUAACAAUUCUUCAAGAAAUGUUUGGGAAAGGUCAGUCCGAAGGCAUAGUUUACGUAACUCAAUAACUUGAGUAAUUACUUUGCACCGUUUUGCCUAAUUUUAUUGCUUACUGGACUGAGGUAUGAAGUUUUGAUACUGCAGGAUAGAAAACUAUACAGCGUACUCAAACUUCUAAAAUAGUGAACUCUGCUUUCAAAAUAUUCAAAGAUGUGCUUGUUUUCAAACUAUUGCUUGUUAACUUCUGCAAGUAUAUAAGAGGGCUAAAAGAGUAUUUCUGUACUUUCUCAUGUAAGCAACAUAGUAGAGAAGUAAAAUUGCAAGUAAAACCAAAAGACAGAUCUAGCUUUCUCAAGGGCCUUGAAAAAUUGGUAGUCUACUCAAAGCAUAACGCUUCUGUGGAGUGAAACUAUUUCAGCUUUUGGUACUAAGGAAUCAGCUCCCAAGAAAACAGAUAUUCUACAGUCUUACUAAAAUUGAAUAAACAAUGCAGUAAUACCCUCAGCAAAUUACACGUUGUACAACUCUUGGAUAGGAUUAAAGGUGAAAAACUGGAAUUGUUGGCCAAGAAAAUCUUAGCUGAACUUUCUUAAAAAAAAAAAAUUUGAAUGUAAUAUAUAUUGCAGAUUGGUUAUCCCAGCCUGUGUAUCCCUUCCAUGUUUUUAGCUAAUGAUCUUGAGGAAAGUAUUGGGAAUGCAUGUAACUGUAUCUGCAUGUAUAUAUAAUAUGUUUAUGUAUAAACAUAUGUGCAAUAAUGUAUAAGACUUACAUUGUAUAGUUUACCUUUUACUUAUAAAGUUUUUUUUUCAAUUCUU